ACUGUGAUAAGGGAACCCCGAGUGCCCGUAUAUGCGGGCUGUCCGGAUGUUUAAAACGCAUCCGAAGAAAGGGCCGGGCAAGACCGGUGCCAGCCGCCGCGGUAAUACCGGCGGCUCGAGUGGUGGCCACUUUUAUUGGGCUUAAAGCGUUCGUAGCUUGAAUUUUUUAAGUCUCUUGGGAAAUCUGCAGGCUUAACCUGCAGGCGUUUAAGAGAAACUGUUGUUCUAGGAACCGGAAGAGGUGAGAGGUACUCCGGGGGUAGGAGUGAAAUCCUGUAAUCCCCGGGGGACCACCGAUGGCGAAGGCAUCUCACCAGGACGGCUUCGACAGUGAGGAACGAAAGCUGGGGGAGCGAACCGGAUUAGAUACCCGGGUAGUCCCAGCCGUAAACGAUGUGCGUUAGGUGUGCCGGUGACCACGAGUCACUGGNGUGCCGAAGGGAAACCGUGAAACGUACCGCCUGGGAAGUACGGUCGCAAGGCUGAAACUUAAAGGAAUUGGCGGGGGAGCA
rnacentral:rRNA from 1 species